rnacentral:rRNA from 1 species
GAUGAACGCUGGCGGCGUGCUUAACACAUGCAAGUCGAACGAAGCAUUUAGGACAGAUUACUUCGGUUUGAAGUUCUUUAUGACUGAGUGGCGGACGGGUGAGUAACGCGUGGGUAACCUGCCUUGUACUGGGGGAUAGCAGCUGGAAACGGCUGGUAAUACCGCAUAAGCGCACAAUGUUGCAUGACAUGGUGUGAAAAACUCCGGUGGUAUAAGAUGGACCCGCGUCUGAUUAGCUAGUUGGUGAGAUAACAGCCCACCAAGGCGACGAUCAGUAGCCGACCUGAGAGGGUGACCGGCCACAUUGGGACUGAGACACGGCCCAGACUACUACGGGAGGCAGCAGUGGGGAAUAUUGCACAAUGGAGGAAACUCUGAUGCAGCGACGCCGCGUGAGUGAAGAAGUAAUUCGUUAUGUAAAGCUCUAUCAGCAGGGAAGAUAGUGACGGUACCUGACGAAGAAGCUCCGGCUAAAUACGUG